UACAGAGGUCCCGAGCGUUGUUCGGAUUCACUGGGCGUAAAGGGUGCGUAGGUGGUGAGGUAAGUCGGAUGUGAAAUCUCCGGGCUCAACCCGGAAAUGGCAUUGGAAACUACCUUGCUAGAGGAUUUGAGGGGGAUUGGAAUACUUGGUGUGAGCAGUGAAAUGCGUAGAUAUCAAGUGGAACACCAGUGGCGAAGGCGAAUCCCUGGAAAAUACCUGACACUGAGGCACGAAAGCUAGGGAGCAAACAGG
rnacentral:rRNA from 1 species